UCGGGAAUUUUGGGCAAUGGGCGAAAGCCUGACCCAGCAACGCCGCGUGAAGGAUGAAGUAUUUCGGUAUGUAAACUUCGUAAGAAUAGGAAGAAUAAAUGACGGUACUAUUUGUAAGGUCCGGCUAACUACGUGCCAGCAGCCGCGGUAAUACGUAGGGACCAAGCGUUGUUCGGAUUUACUGGGCGUAAAGGGCGCGUAGGCGGUGUGUCAAGUCAGUUGUGAAAUCUCCGAGCUUAACUCGGAACGGUCAACUGAUACUGUCACACUAGAGUACAGAAGGGGCAAUCGGAAUUCUUGGUGUAGCGGUGAAAUGCGUAGAUAUCAAGAGGAACACCUGAGGCGAAGGCGGGUUGCUGGGCUGAUACUGACGCUGAGGCGCGAAAGCUAGGGUAGCAAACGGGAUUAGAUACCCAUGUAGUCCCUGAGCGGGCUGGCAAGGCGCAU
rnacentral:rRNA from 1 species